AGAGCAGGGUGUGGUCUGGGAGGACAGGGAUGGUAGCGAGGGUGGCGGCUCACACGAAUCCAGGAGAGAAAACAGCAGCUGUUGCCGCGUCGAACCCGCAGCGCCCGAGGAGCUACCAGGUGCCGCGGGCGGGGCCUCCUUUUUAGCUGACUGGGACACGCAGCCUCGAAGGUCUGGUAGAGUCUCCCAGGGAGAGGGCCUGGAGGACGUAAUCCCAGCUGGCGUGUGGGAACGGGCAACGCCAUUUUGUACGGAAGCUACUGGGGCAGGUGAUGCCUACCCAGUCUCUCUCCUCUGUUGAACAAAGGAUCUGUUAAAAUUGGAAGGGCUUAACGUCUUCUUCAGAAAAGUGACGCAUUUGUUACUGGGAUGGUAAGGUUCAGCAAAGUCUAUGUCAUUCUCUAAUCCUUUUGAUCCAGCGGAUUCUUUGGAGGAAUUUGAAUACAUAUUGGAUUUUGCAUCCAGGUUUGCAAGAGGAAAAUACAAAGGUGACUUCUGGGCCUGCUGGAGGUGGAGGGUAGAGGAUGGACAGCUGACAUCUAGUCACAGAGGAAAGAACACAGAAAGAGAUCUCCAGUUAAAGCUGAUAGAUUGAACCACAGACAACCCACCUCCUUCUAAAAUCCCUCUAGAACAAUGGUUUAAAAAAAGUGCUUUAACAUAAAACUUCAAAAUCAAAAAGAUAAGGAAAAUGAUGAAAACCACUCAGAUAAGAAGAGAGGAUAUUUAUGCAGAGGCUGCUGUCGUUGGGAGUCCGCCACCAUACCACUAUACUUUGGUGAGACUUGAAGGCAGGCAGGGAGUGGAAACACUUUAUGCUGUAGUGAAAAAAGGGGAAGGCUUCGGUAUGCUCUGACUGGAGAUCAUUGUCAUGGGGAAACUGCAGGUGGGCUAACUAGAGGCUGGGCUUCUUGUGUAAUGGUUUGGCUUUCUCUGGUUGGUCCUGUGUUGAAAAUAGGGGCAAAAUAUAGGGAAGCUGACUCAUUGACCAAGCCCUGCCCAGGCUGGCCAAUUGCAGAGGUUGUGGGUCAGAGUUCUAUUGUCAUAUAUGGUCUGGCUACUGUCUGUUUAUAUAAUCCGUCUCUCAGAGAACAGUAGAGGAGAUCAAAUUAUUAACAUUUUGGAAGCUGGAAAGCAGGAGGAUAGUGUGAGCUGAAUUAGCAGACUUGCCAUCUAUCAAAGGGGAUAGCCAAAAGCAAGCCAGAUUUGCCCCAGAGAACCACCAAAGGUUCAAGAAUUGGCAGCACCAGGUACCCCCAGAAGCAGGGAUAAAGUGGGGGCUGAAAUUGGACAGUUGGUUCAAAGUCUAUUUCAGAAGCAUUAGACCACUGGAUUUCUUCCCCAGCUCCCAAAUGACUGCCUGGUGCAAAAGACUCAGGAUUGAUUCCCUGGAGAGGGUAGGUAGUUCUUUGUCUAGUUAAGGAUGGGAUGCCAUAACAAACAUGCCAAUUCAGUGAAAGUACCUACUUUCAAGACUCCUGCUUAACUCCCCUAAAUCAGCAGCCAAUGUUAGAAGCCAAGUGUUAAAGUUUUUCAGAUAAUUUUGCUAUAAGCCUAUGGAGAAAUUUCAUUACCAUCUCAUAGCAAGGCCUAUAGUAUAAGAGCAGGCCUAUAGUAGCAUAUGGGGGAAAGUCUAAAAGACUUUGAAAUGGACCAAAAGAUUAUUGAGAAAUGGAAAACUGCAUUGUUUUAAGUAUCCCUUUCCAACUUAUCAGAUUCUGUGGGGUUUAUACCUUUCAUUGUCUUUGAGGUAUUUAACAAUUCUAAAGAGAUAGACUCUAACUUGUAGAAAACUAAGAGUAACAUAAAUAAUUAUCGUCUUUAGAUAUACAAAUAAAUUCUGUUCUGAG
rnacentral:lncRNA from 1 species